ACGCUGGCGGCAGGCUUAACACAUGCAAGUCGAGCGCCCCGCAAGGGGAGCGGCAGACGGGAGAGUAACGCGUGGGAAUCUACCUUUUGCUACGGAAUAACUCAGGGAAACUUGUGCUAAUACCGUAUGUGCCCUUCGGGGGAAAGAUUUAUCGGCAAAGGAUGAGCCCGCGUUGGAUUAGCUAGUUGGUGAGGUAAAGGCUCACCAAGGCGACGAUCCAUAGCUGGUCUGAGAGGAUGAUCAGCCACACUGGGACUGAGACACGGCCCAGACUCCUACGGGAGGCAGCAGUGGGGAAUAUUGGACAAUGGGCGCAAGCCUGAUCCAGCCAUGCCGCGUGAGUGAUGAAGGUCUUAGGAUUGUAAAGCUCUUUCACCGGUGAAGAUAAUGACGGUAACCGGAGAAGAAGCCCCGGCUAACUUCGUGCCAGCAGCCGCGGUAAUACGAAGGGGGCUAGCGUUGUUCGGAUUUACUGGGCGUAAAGCGCACGUAGGCGGACUUUUAAGUCAGGGGUGAAAUCCCGGGGCUCAACCCCGGAACUGCCUUUGAUACUGGAAGUCUUGAGUAUGGUAGAGGUGAGUGGAAUUCCGAGUGUAGAGGUGAAAUUCGUAGAUAUUCGGAGGAACACCAGUGGCGAAGGCGGCUCACUGGACCAUUACUGACGCUGAGGUGCGAAAGCGUGGGGAGCAAAC
rnacentral:rRNA from 1 species